AAUACUGGGGGGAGUGGCUCCAUGUCUUCUCACAGAAGCAAUCCUUGACAGCAUAGAAGUACCCAUCUGGUGUCUCAAAUAGAUGGUCGAUGUUUUCAAACACUUGGAUGUCGGCAUCAAGGUAUACCAUCUUCGUAUAUUCAAACUGAAAUUACACAUACAAGGUUUAUUAAGUACCAGUUAACAUAAUCAACUUGUAAGGUGUACAUGAAGAGUUGGUUUAAGAUACAAAGGCGAUACUAUUUGCUUACAUUCCAUAUACGGAGUUUAGAGUAGUUGAUCACAUAAUAAGCCAUCGCAAACUGAACCUGGUUCUCUGGUGGAUAUAUGGGCUCAAUCUCUUGUAUGAUGCAGCCCUGAGAGCUUAAUAACUCACGGUGUUCUUGAGGCACAUCGGGCAACAUUGCCACCACCAGAGGGUACGCACUCUUCGCCUUCCUUAGACCCUUGGCCAGCCCCACCACCCCUUUGACAUAGUCACCAUUGCCUGCUAAAAAUGUCACGUAAGCUCUCUUCUCGUAGCCUAUUUUCUGAGUAGCUAAGUUUCUAGUACAAGCAAAGGUGUCUACAGGUACUCCUGGAGCCAUUAAGUAGCUUUUUAAAGCUUACUAAAUGCUAAAGUUGGCUUAUAUGGAGGAGUGUGGGAAAGUAAACCAACAACUCUAAGGUUGCCGCCGUACUUGCCUUUGUUCCUAGGUCCUACAAUGAACAGUUUAGGGUUUAUAUAGGGCUUAAAUGGAAGUAAAAUGCACACCAAAUGAACUUCAAAUGAGAUUUAAAUAGCAAGUCAAUUAUUAUUUAUUUAUUUCUUAGAUGAAGCAACUUUGUGUUAAGUCCUUUUUGGGCUGGAUGUGGAGGGAAUUGGAAAUGAAUGAACACAAAUUUGUUGUUCAGCCAACCAUUGAUCUAGCCUUAUCGUCUAGAGUAAACGGCCGAGAGUUCAUAUGCUGAUUUUAUAAUCUGAUGAAGAUGGAUAUUGAUAUAUCUUUACUAUACUAUACGAAUUUAUAUUAUAUGGUAUGAAGGGAGAACGGGGGAGAGAGACGAACAAGUGUCACAUCCUUGAAGUAUAAUCACUGACACCUUCACAUUAGCAAAUACAAAAUACUAAAUUUCAGAAAGAAUAAUAAGAUUUUGUUUUUUGAUUGGUUUGUGGAAAAUAAGAUAGAUAUUUUAGGUUAAUUAGCAUUUGACCAUCAAGUUUAUCUUCACCACUAGUUAUAUUCCCGUGGUAUCUUCUAGACUACAAUCGUCUUCCUUCAGACUUUUUUGUGAAGAAAAGUUGUGCAGCUUACACGUAUUAUGAUAUUGCAUACUAUGUAAUUCUGUAUUUUGUCUUUCUACUUUCGAGAUCUUAGACUGGACACACAGCAAGAAAUUGCUUGCAAAUUAGUAAAUUUAUUUUCACAUACAGCGAACAUAUCUUCCAUUUAAGUAUGGUGAGAUGUACCGAACUUAGUCAUACGUUGUAGAGUAAAGAUGAUGUCUUAAUGACUACCUAACAUAGAUUUUAAUGUGUAUGUGCUCCUCUAACAUCUUUGGAGACAUGAUCCUGUCAGUGCAGACUCUUUUCUUUUGUCAAUCAUUCACACCAACCUGUUGAAUGUAUAUUUCUAAUUUACAGGCUAUGGUUUUCAGUGAGAGUACCCAUAUCUCUGUGUACAAUGGUGUGUUAUGUGCAGAGAUAUGGGAAUAACCUGUCCAUAACCCAUACCCCUUUCCCCAGCCUUGGUGUGGACCAAAUGAAAUGGGUGCUGGUGCCUGUCACAAUCUAGAGAGUGACUAGAAUAGAAAAACCAAAGGAGUUAGGGUCCUAUAUUCUAUACAGGUGUAUCUAUGUGCUCCUCUCCUUCUACUAAAUGUAGCAUGGCCUAGAUUUAUUCAACAAAAGUGUAUUGAAAUACAGUACCUGAUUUGUGUGCUAAAAGAAAGGGUGAAGCUCAGCCUCUUCUUCACUAACCACUUGGUUAUAGGAUCCUUGGUUAUACUUACUUCCAACAGCUCUAGAAACAUAACCCCUUGUCUGUAGCAUAGAUUAGUCGACUUGGAAUUUUAUAUGAGCUUUUUAUAGUUAUAUAUUCUAAAUAUAUAAUAUGUAAUAUUCCUAUGGAAAUAUCCCAACAAAGUUGGAACAAGGUUAUAUCGAGGGCAGGUGGUAAGUGUGUACUGUUUGUGAAAGGAGGUUUUAAGUCCAAAAUAUUUGUAUGCUGUUUGGAUUUUGGCGUAUAGCAAAUAUUAUAUGUCAGUAACUUAGAAUGUUAGAUUGAAAAUGUUAUGUUAUUACUUUUGUUGUUCUUAGGCUAAUAAAUAGCGGUGAAAAUGUGCGCUGAUCGCAGAUAGCUGAGAACCACGUAUUUGUAUUAGUGCAUAGCCCCCAAAAAAUAGUAAGCCAGUAAUAUCUGAUUCAGCAGAGCAAGUGUCUGCAGCUAGGAAGCACCGACUCGGAUACGUCGACACGGGACACGGGGAUUCUCCAAUUCUCAAAGAGUCUUGGAUACGGGACACGGCAAAAAAAAUAAUCAUAAAAAAACAUAAUAUUUAUAUAUGUUAAAUAUUGGAUUAUAUUCAUAAUAAUAGAGUUUCUUUCAUGAUGAGACACAUAUCUAUUCUGCAUUUUCAUUUGAAUGAUCAUCUUGUAUAUAUAUAUUCUGUAUAUAUAUAUAAGAAAGUAGGAGAUGUAGUGAUAUGUAUAUAAACGUAUAUCUGAUUGUGUAUAUAUGCGGAUAGAAGAUGAAAAGAGCUGACUGCUGAGCAAUAUUAUAAAAGAGAUGGGUUAGGUUAAAUAAGAUAUGGGCUGGGCUGACUUAAAAAAAACAUAUGGGUUAGGGUUUUUUUAAAGGGCCGUGUCGGCCGCGUGUCGGCCGUGUGUCGGCCGCGUGUCGGCCGUGUGUCGGCCGCGUGUCGGCCGUGUGUCGGCCGCGUGUCAUGUGCUGACACGCCACACGGCGAGUCGGACACGUACUCAGCCGAGUCGCCGUGUCGGCCGUGUCGGACACGGACACGGCGGCCUUUUUGAAGUAUCAGAGUCUUUAUAUCCAGCCAACCAUUCUUUUAGAGUUCAGGUCACUGAAACAUCCUUACAUGCAAAGCAUGUAGACUUUAGUUGAAAUUCAUCACCUUUGGUUGAUAUGAGAAACAUACAUUAUCACAAUUUUUUCCCACUGCAUGAAAAUUACUAGGCAGACAUAAAUGGUAUUACUUAUGUAAAUUUAAUAACUAGAUUAUUGGAAAAAUAUAUUACCACACCUAAACUUGGAGUUUGUGUGCGUGCAUCACUGUAGAAUUCUAUACUGUUACAGACAUGCUCUCUUACAAUUUACAAGCAACACUCCUUAUCAGUCUCUUGGCUACUGUGUUUAUAUGUUUACUACCUAGCAAGGAAAAAAAGACCAUAUAUAUUCUAUAGUAGUGAAGAUUUAACAGACAUCAUGAUAAGUCUGAAUCUGGUUUUUCAGUGGCUUGCCGUUCUUUAAGCAAUCUAUUGGAGGUACUGUCUCGGAGUACAAUUCUCCAAAUGUACGCCAGCAGAACGGAUCAUACAUGUGGUAGCGUUCUUGCAGAGGUUUUAGUUCUAUGGUGUUUAAGGUAACCUCUGUACACGG
rnacentral:lncRNA from 1 species